rnacentral:misc_RNA from 1 species
GAUGAAGAACGCAGCGAAAUGCGAUAAGUAAUGUGAAUUGCAGAAUUCAGUGAAUCAUCGAAUCUUUGAACGCACCUUGCGCCCUUUGGUCAUUCCGAAGGGCAUGCCUGUUUGAGUAUCAUGAACACCUCAACUCCUCAUGGUCUUCUAUGAUGAGCUUGGACUUUGGGGGCUUGCUGGCCCAUUUGGUCAGCUCCUCUCAAAUGAAUCAGCCUACCAGUGUUUGGUGGCACCACAGGUGUGAUAACAAUCUACGCUUGAGGUUUUCCACCAGGCAACCUUCAGUAAUUGGGGUUCACUGGGGCUCACAAAUGUCUUUCUUCAGUGAGGACAGCUCUUUGAAUGUUUGAUCUCAAAUCAGGUAGGACUACCCGCUGAACUUAAGCAUAUCAAUAAGCGGAGGA